rnacentral:rRNA from 1 species
GAUGAACGCUGGCGGCGUGCCUAAUACAUGCAAGUCGAGCGAAUUGACAGAGGUGCUUGCACCUCUCGAUUUUAGCGGCGGACGGGUGAGUAACACGUGGGUAACCUACCUAUAAGACUGGGAUAACUUCGGGAAACCGGAGCUAAUACCGGAUAAUAUUUAGCUUCGCAUGAAGCAAUAGUGAAAGACGGUUCUGCUGUCACUUAUAGAUGGACCUGCGGUGUAUUAGCUAGUUGGUGAGGUAACGGCUCACCAAGGCAACGAUACAUAGCCGAGCGGAGAGGGUGAGCGGCCACACUGGGACUGAGACACGGCCCAGACUCCUACGGGAGGCAGCAGUAGGGAAUCUUCCGCGAUGGACGAAAGUCUGACGGAGCAACGCCGCGUGAGUGAAGAAGGUUUUCGGAUCGUAAAACUCUGUUGUAAGGGAAGAACAAGUACGUUAGUAACUGAACGUACCUUGACGGUACCUUACCAGAAAGCCACGGCUAACUACGUGCCAGCCGCCGCGGUAACAC